rnacentral:rRNA from 1 species
CUAGCAAGACUGCCGGUGACAAACCGGAGGAAGGUGGGGAUGACGUCAAAUCAUCAGGCCCCUUAUGACCUGGGCUACACACGUGCUACAAUGGGAAGUACAACGAGUUGCGAAGUCGCGAGGCUAAGCUAAUCUCUUAAAGCUUCUCUCAGUUCGGAUUGCAGGCUGCAACUCGCCUGCAUGAAGCCGGAAUCGCUAGUAAUCGCGGAUCAGCACGCCGCGGUGAAUACGUUCCCGGGCCUUGUACACACCGCCCGUCACACCACGAGAGUUUGUAACACCCGAAGUCGGUGAGGUAACCUUUUGGAGCCAGCCGCCUAAGGUGGGAUAGAUGAUUGGGGUGAAGUCGUAACAAGGUAGCCGUAUCGGAAGGUGCGGCUGGAUCACCUCCUUU